rnacentral:rRNA from 1 species
UUUGAUCCUGGCUCAGGAUGAACGCUAGCGACAGGCUUACCNUAUGCAAGUCGAGGGGCAGCGGGGGUGCAGGCUUGCCUGCACCUGCCGGCGACCGGCGCACGGGUGAGUAACACGUAUGGAACCUGCCCGCCACAGGGGGAUAACCCGGGGAAACCCGGCCUAAUACCCCAUGCCGCCCGGACCGGGCAUCCGGACCGGGCGAAAGGAGGGAUCCGGUGGCGGCUGGGCAUGCGGCGCAUUAGCUUGACGGCGGGGUAACGGCCCACCGUGGCGACGAUGCGUAGGGGUUCUGAGAGGAAGGCCCCCCACACUGGAACUGAGAUACGGUCCAGACUCCUACGGGAGGCAGCAGUGAGGAAUAUUGGUCAAUGGGCGGAAGCCUGAACCAGCCAAGUCGCGUGAGGGAAUAAGGCCCUACGGGUCGUAAACCUCUUUUGCCGGGGAGCAAGGGCCGGGACGAGUCCCGGUCCGGAGAGUACCCGGAGAAAAAGCAUCGGCUUAACUCCGUGCCAGCAGCCCGCGGUAAUACGGAGGAUUGCGAGGCGUUAUCCGGAUUUUAUUGGNUUUAAAGGGUGCGUAGGCGGGCUUUUUAAGUCAGCGGUAAAAAUUCGGGGCUCAANCCCCGUCCGGCCGUUGAAAACUGGGGGCCUUGAGUGGGCGAGAAGAAGGCGGAAUGCGUGGUGUAGCGGUGAAAUGCAUAGAUAUCACGCAGAACCCCGAUUGCGAAGGCAGCCUUCCGGCGCCCUACUGACGCUGAGGCACGAAAGUGCGGGGAUCGAACAGGAUUAGAUACCCUGGUUAGUCCGCACAGUAAACGAUGGGAUGCCAGCUGUCCGGGCCGAAUGGGGNCCUGGGUGGCAAAAGCGAAAGCGUUAAGCAUCCNNCCUGGGGGAGUUACGCCNGCAACGGGUGAAAACUCAAAGGNAAUUUGACGGGGGGCCCCGCNACAANGCGGAAGGAACAUGUNGGUUUUAAUUUCGAUNAUNNCNCGAGGNAACCUUACCCNGGGCUCAAACCNCNNUCAGGGAUNCCCNUCUNAAANGAGGGGAGUCAGCAAUGACCUGGCGCGAGGUGCUGCAUGGUUGUCGUCAGCUCGUGCCGUGAGGUGUCGGCUUAAGUGCCAUAACGAGCGCAACCCCUACCGACAGUUGCUAACUGGUGAAGCAGAGGACUCUGUCGGGACUGCCGGCGCAAGCUGCGAGGAAGGCGGGGAUGACGUCAAAUCAGCACGGCCCUUACGUCCGGGGCGACACACGUGUUACAAUGGCAGGUACAGCGGGAAGCCACCGGGCGACCGGGCGCGGAACCCGAAAACCUGUCUCAGUUCGGAUCGGAGUCUGCAACCCGACUCCGUGAAGCUGGAUUCGCUAGUAAUCGCGCAUCAGCCACGGCGCGGUGAAUACGUUCCCGGGCCUUGUACACACCGCCCGUCAAGCCAUGGGAGCCGGGGGUGCCUGAAGUCCGUGACCGCAAGGGGCNGNANUAGGGUAAAANCCGGUGANCUGGGGCUAAGUCGUAACAAGGUAACCG